UCGAAAGGAGCAUGAAAGGAAAGAGAUAGAAGUGAAGGAUAAAGAUAUGCAGGAAAUGAAGGGGAAGUGCGAUAGUAGUGGUAGCAAUGGAGAUGUUAAGAAGAAGAGGUAUAUUUUCACAUGGUCUCAACAGGUUCCUUUUCUUGCCUCUCUCCGCAACUGCUCAUUUAGCCUCAAGGACCGUGAUAUUAUCAUUUCCUUCUCUAGAAUUUUGCUUUUGGUUUCUUUUUCAAAAUUUGAUUAAAUGGGACUCAUACGUAGGAGGAUGAUAUACUGCGUGACCAGAUUACAAUUCACGGAACAGACAACUGGGUGAUUAUCACGUCUUUGUUCAAGGACAAGGCGAGGUGAUUCAGGAGAAGACGGUAUACAUACUUGAAUUCUGAUCUCAAAACGGGUGGAUGGUCGCCUGCAAUUGUACCAUGAAUAUAGAGAAAAGCAAGACAUACAGAGUACCCUACGAGCUUCACGAAAUUUACUGAUUCAAUUCGCUCAAGAAGUCAGUUCAGUCUGCAAGCACAACAUUGAGCUGAUUACAGAAAGAGAGCGGUGGUCCCUUUAGCCGGAGCCUCUUCACAGCGAUUGCCAUGCCCUCAUUUGGUUUAGCCGUGUUCAUGGUGUGAUCGCCAAAACCACCGUCUCCGAUGAAGUUGUUGCCACUGAACUUGUUCGUGGCAUCCUUCAACACGUCAUAGCAAAAGCAGUGAAGCCAAUAUAGAUGGAACACCUCAUCCUUCUUGUUCAAUGGGCAAUCAUCAUGUCGUUGCCAACCUCGUGAAUAGGCAUACCAAUUUCC